AACUCCAGGUGGAAACCCGUUGGACACGCUCUCCUGGCAACUCGCCUCUGAUAGUGCUGCAUCGGUAGUCUGUCGCGUUUCACCGCAACGCCCACACUGAGACCUCGUGGAUUCGUUGGCGAACUCGUUCGGCACAAACUCGCUGGACGCUCCACACGCCCGACAUAUUUCCAGACGCUGAGCCUGGCGUUCGAGUUUCGGGGAGAGUGAGAGCCCUACAGUACGUCGCUGCCGGGGGGGUGGGGUCACGCCCCAGAGAGCCUGCCGCGUCCAGUUGCAUCGCCGUCGGACGUCCGGCAAGCUUGCCGUACACCGUCUAGAGCGUCCGGCACUGCUUCACACUCGUCCACGCUACCUGUUUCGUUGUGAGUUCGUGCUCGUGCUCGUGCUCGUGCUGUGCGUACGGUGUGCUGAACGCGUCGGUGAGCGUCCUGCAGAGCCGAUCGCUGCACUCGACGUACGCUCGUGUCAAGCGAAAUGGAGAGAAGCGCCUGUGCGCUGUAGCGUGCUCCACGCCGUACGCUCCCUCCAAACGACGCAGUUGAUCGGCCACUUUGUUCUCCGACUCGCGGAACGCGCUAGCGAAAGCCAGCUUGUUGGCUCGGUGCGAGGGCGACUCUGGCUGGCGUUGGGGCAGCGCUUCCGAGUCCGCUGCCACUGCAGUCUCCGCCACUAUUCCGCAGUUUAGCUCUAUCGACGCGCCAUGAAUCCGCUGCAUCAGUCACGCUUUUCUCGGCCACUGAGUGUAGGAUGCGGCAUCAAAAGCGUGCGCCUCAUGGAGCGCUCAGCGCGGAACUGCAGCUGCUCUAGGAUAGUGGUGCUCAUUCGAUUCCUUCAGGGACCUAUACUGUAGCACUUGCGUUCGCUGAUGCGGUAGCGUGCAGGUCAAGGUACGCUAGAACGUGUGUUUGUGUUUAUGUGUAUGUGAGUAAGUGUGUUUAUGUGUUUGUUUGCAAUUCCGCUAGUUCACGAGCACGCCGUAUCGUAUCCUCUGUGCAGAGCAUCAGCUGUACUGUGCCUCGGAAAGGCUCGCUCGAGCACGCCCCGAGGAAUGCGCACAGCUGGCUCCUCUGCAUGCGCAGCUGCUCUGAACAGCUGCUGCUGGACGAGGUGCACCAAAGCUAGAGAAGCUGCGCGAGCAUCCGCCAGGAACGAAGCUGCGCGAGCUCUGAAGGCGUUCUGCGGCUUUCGGGUCCACGGAUGCGAACGACUCGUCGUCUAUAGAUCCGCGAGCGCUUGUAUGGCGGUUGACAACCGACAAGGGGCCUAUGACUGCUCUGAACCUGAACCAGUAUGCAGGAUCGCCGAGCCGCUCAACGCCGCCCUCGCGUGUGUACUCGAUGGCACCUACGGCGUACUGGACAGCGAUCUCUUCUGAGAUCGCGGCAGAUGAGAGUGGGACCAAGAAGCCAAAAGUGCGUCGACGAACGAUCAGGUGUGUCGAAGGGACAUGUCUGUUUGGCGGCUCGGUGGCAACUGCGGGAUGUGGUCGCCACUGGAGCACAUGGUGGCUUCAUGCUCGCUUGUGUCGUCGUGUAGGACGGCAAUAUGCCCUUCGUGGCGUACCUAGCCACAUGUCGAGCGUCCGUAGCUGGACGUGUCUCAUCGAGAGCGGCAAACGUCCGUUGCCCGCGGAAUACGAGCUCGUGUUUCCAUACGGAAUCGAUGACCAGGUAUGCGACGCGCAAAGGCCUCCCAUAGCCGCGUGCUUCUGCGUAUUCCAUCGGUGACUCUUCAUCACCAUUCGUAUGAAGGGUGUCGAAACCCGACAUCCUGCGGCAUGUUUUGGAGUCAUUGUCAGCGUACGCAUGGAGUGGAAUGCGCUGAAGAAGAGGCAAUCGUUGGGGUAGCGCUGGAUAAGUUCUGUUUUGGGCUCCCGAGCCCCAGGAUCAGGGCCAGGCGACGUGUAGCUCAUUCGCUUGAUGAACCCACUGAGUGACUCACUCGUAGAACUGAAGCCGUUGUGCUCGCAAGCUGGCAGUGAGGGCCUUUGGUGUUUCCGCGAGCGUUCUCGCACCCAAAGGAUGGAUUGCUUUUAUGAGGGACCUGAGAGAAAGACAAACAAAAACAUAAAAGGUGAGCCAGCACAGC
rnacentral:misc_RNA from 1 species